AUGAACGCUGGCGGCAUGCCUUACACAUGCAAGUCGAACGGCAGCAUGACCUAGCUUGCUAGGUUGAUGGCGAGUGGCGAACGGGUGAGUAAUGCAUCGGAACGUGCCUUUUAGUGGGGGAUAACGUAGCGAAAGUUACGCUAAUACCGCAUAUUCUCUGAGGAGGAAAGCAGGGGACCUUCGGGCCUUGCGCUAGAAGAGCGGCCGAUGUCGGAUUAGCUAGUUGGUGAGGUAAAGGCUCACCAAGGCAACGAUCCGUAGCGGGUCUGAGAGGAUGAUCCGCCACACUGGGACUGAGACACGGCCCAGACUCCUACGGGAGGCAGCAGUGGGGAAUUUUGGACAAUGGGCGCAAGCCUGAUCCAGCCAUGCCGCGUGAGUGAAGAAGGCCUUCGGGUUGUAAAGCUCUUUCGGCUGGGAAGAAAUCGCACCCUCUAAUACAGGGUGUGGAUGACGGUACCAGCAGAAGAAGCACCGGCUAACUACGUG
rnacentral:rRNA from 1 species